rfam:TPA: Bos taurus chromosome 6, whole genome shotgun sequence.
UCCCUAGUGGCUUAGCUGGUAAAGAAUCUGUCUGCAAUGCAGGAGACCUGGGUUCCAUCCCUGGGUCGGGAA